AUUUAUGUAGUUUAACAAAUUUAACACCCCAUUUUCAAUGAGGAGAUAAGGAAUAUUUUUAACCCUUCAUAAAUA
rnacentral:tRNA from 1 species